rnacentral:rRNA from 1 species
UCCACGCCGUAAACGAUGAAUACUAGGUGUCGGGGGUCGAACCUCGGUGCCGCAGCUAACGCAUUAAGUAUUCCGCCUGGGGAGUACGGUCGCAAGACUGAAACUCAAAGGAAUUGACGGGGACCCGCACAAGCAGCGGAGCAUGUGGUUUAAUUCGAAGCAACGCGAAGAACCUUACCAAGUCUUGACAUCCUCUUGACCAUCGUUUAACCAUGAUUUUUCCUUCGGGAACAAGAGUGACAGGUGGUGCAUGGUUGUCGUCAGCUCGUGUCGUGAGAUGUUGGGUUAAGUCCCGCAACGAGCGCAACCCUUGUCUUUAGUU